UUAACUCAUAUUUGUACGGAAUAGGAUCGUUUGCGUACGUUUGCCGAUAGGGGCGCUGUUCCAACUGCAUACAAAAUUGCGUUA
rnacentral:pre_miRNA from 1 species